rnacentral:rRNA from 1 species
UACGGAGGGGGCUAGCGUUGUUCGGAAUUACUGGGCGUAAAGCGCGCGUAGGCGGACCUGCAAGUCGGGGGUGAAAGCCCGAGGCUCAACCUCGGAACUGCCUUCGAUACUGCGGGUCUCGAGUCCGGGAGAGGUGAGUGGAAUUCCUAGUGUAGAGGUGAAAUUCGUAGAUAUUCGGAAGGAACACCAGUGGCGAAGGCGACUGACUGGACAUGUAUUGACGCUGAGGUGGCGAAAAGCGUGGGGAGCAAACAGG